AGUGAACGCUGGCGGUAGGCCUAACACAUGCAAGUCGAACGGCAGCACAGUAAGAGCUUGCUCUUACGGGUGGCGAGUGGCGGACGGGUGAGGAAUACAUCGGAAUCUACUUUUUCGUGGGGGAUAACGUAGGGAAACUUACCCUAAUACCGCAUACGACCUACGGGUGAAAGUAGGGGAUCUUCGGACCUUGCGCGAUUGAAUGAGCCGAUGUCGGAUUAGCUAGUUGGCGGGGUAAAGGCCCACCAAGGCGACGAUCCGUAGCUGGUCUGAGAGGAUGAUCAGCCACACUGGAACUGAGACACGGUCCAGACUCCUACGGGAGGCAGCAGUGGGGAAUAUUGGACAAUGGGCGCAAGCCUGAUCUAGCCAUACCGCGUGGGUGAAGAAGGCCUUCGGGUUGUAAAGCCCUUUUGUUGGGAAAGAAAAGCAGCAGGUUAAUACCCCGCUGCUCUGACGGUACCCAAAGAAUAAGCACCGGCUAACUUCGUG
rnacentral:rRNA from 1 species